GACGAACGCCGGCGGCGUGCUUAACACAUGCAAGUCGAACGGUAAGGCCCUUCGGGGUACACGAGUGGCGAACGGGUGAGUAACACGUGGGUGAUCUGCCCUGCACUUCGGGAUAAGCCUGGGAAAUUGGGUCUAAUACCGGAUAGGACUCCUGCCUGCAUGGGUGGGGGUGGAAAGCUUUUGCGGUGUGGGAUGGGCCCGCGGCCUAUCAGCUUGUUGGUGGGGUGAUGGCCUACCAAGGCGAAGACGGGUAGCCGGCCUGAGAGGGUGACCGGCAAAACUGGGACUGAGAUACGGCCCAGACUCCUACGGGAGGCAGCAGUGGGGAAUAUUGCACAAUGGGCGCAAGCCUGAUGCAGCGACGCCGCGUGAGGGAUGACGGCCUUCGGGUUGUAAACCUCUUUCAGCACAGACGAAGCGCAAGUGACGGUAUGUGCAGAAGAAGGACCGGCCAACUACGUGCCAGCCGCCGCAGUAA
rnacentral:rRNA from 1 species